UUUUUUUUUUUUUUGUGAAAUAAAAUUCUAAAACCUUGAAGGACAAACAGCUUUUUGAGAUUCCUACAUUGCCUACAAGGGACCACAUACAACAAAGCCUACUAAGGCCAUUUCUCAUCUCUUUUUUCCAUUCAAGACUGAAAAGGAAAAUGAGACCCAGAAGAGUCUGUCCUGAAAAGGAAGCUUUGAAAUUCAUCGCAUCUGGGAAAGAUAAAGACAUAUUUCAGUCAAGAGUCAAGAGAAAGAUUGUUGAUGAACAGAAAAUAGCACAUUUGUGUGCAUUUGUGACCACAAACAUCACUAAAGGAGAAGAAAUGAUGUUGGACUGCGGAGAUCCUGACAGCUCAUGGAGACAGGUAGCAGGAUGCUUGGUCCAUUACAUCCUGACGGAUGGACAACACCCUUAUAAGACCACUACACCCUCCACCCAGGAUGCACUUGGUCUGUCUCUACAUGUCAGAACGAGUAACUUCGGUCUUCAAUGGGAUGAAAGACUAAACAUAUCUUAAGCAGAAUGCUGAGCAAAUCAGUGGAAGAGCGUCCUACUAUUGAGGAAUGCCUUCAGGAAGUCAAAACUAUGUGCAAAGACUUAUUGUAGAGUUUACAAAAAGCAUUAAAAUGAUUGGAUAUAAGUAUUAGUGUGAAUUUACAGGUUUGAUCACCAGUCUUAUCAAAUAUCAACCACAAACAGCUACAGCUCAGGAAAGACUUCAGACUUCAGUCUUCUGAAGUCACUAGUGCCAUUAAAUCAAAACGGUAUGAUCCAUUCACCAUAAACAAUACACAAGAUCUAAAGAUCAUUGUCUUUUCAUGUUUUCAACUUUGUAAAGUAUGUAUUACUGACAUUAAAUUUUUUUAAUUCAUUCAUAUAUUUAUUCACUAUAUAUAUUUUUUAUCUUGUAAUUUUGUUAAAUAGCAAGAGCCAGAAAGCCCUGGUCAGAAACAGAGAGGAAAGUCAUAGAACACUGUUUCAAGAUCUACUUGGAGGAGAUGAAGGCUCCUGGAAAAGUGGACUGUGAAAGAUGCAUAAAUGCAAAGAGGAUUCUAAAGGAUAAUGGAAGAGACUGGAAAACAGUUAAAUACUUUGUGCUCAACAGAAUAAUUUCAGUUAAGAGAAGUUUGGGUGAACAGUACUGAGCCCAUAAACCCUGAGAGCGUGUGAUGUGGAGUAUCAGUGUUGAGUCCUAACUGUGCCGUGACACUGAAGGUCCAUGUACAUGCAGCAUCAGUGCGUCAUAGCAUUGAAAUUAUUGACUACAGCUGUUUUCAGCUCCUGUUUGGGACUCUGUUUUAGACCUGUUAUAACUUUGAUGUAAGCCACUGUAAUUUUGAACUAUUUUUUUUUUUUUAAAUAAACAAAUUUUAUUAUUUUCAUUUUGAUUUGUUGUUUUACUUUUCUUGGCAAUGUUGAUAAUAAAAAUGGAGCCCCUAAAUCAAGUGCUGCUCUGAAAAAUGUCAGUGUGUUAAACGACUAAAGUGCCAAUGCUUAAAAAGUAUUUUAUAUAAAAUAUAUAUUGCUUGUUGCAUUGAGAAUUUUCAGCUGGUUCUACAAAUGUGCAAAUGUUAAAAGACAUUCAGUUCAUCUAAUUUACUGGAGCCAACUGAAGAUUUUAAUGCAGUAAAUAAAAAAAUAAAAUAAAAACACUGGUCCCCUGUUAGAUGGUGAAGUGUGACGCCUGAUCGGCUGACCUUACAUUUAACAAUAUUUCACAUUCUCACCAUCUCUGAAUGCUAUGGCAAGGAUGAUAAUAUAAUGUUACAAUAUAUGUUGAUUGUAACAUUGAUUUUGAAAUUUAGCCAAGUGAAUAUUUUCAAAGUCAACAUGAAAUCUUCAAGAAAUGUCAAAGCAACCAAAGAGAUGUCGCAGUUUACCAUUUAACAGGGGACCUAAGUGUUCAGAUCAACAUUAGCACUAUUCCAUCUAUCUAUCUAUCUAUCUAUCUAUCUAUCUAUCUAUCUAUCUAUCUAUCUAUCUAUCUAUCUAUCUAUCUAUCUAUCUAUCUAUCUAUCUAUCUUUAAAAAAAUAGCCUCCAAGAUCAAACCGGUCCCCAGUUAGAUGGUGAAGCAUGACGUGAUCUGUUUGUUUGCCUUUACAUUUAACAAAUUACUUUUAUUUAUUUAUUUAUUUAUUUCUGAAUAUAAUGGCAAUGCUGAUAAUACCCUAAAAAUGGAGCCUCUGAAAAAUGUCAGUGUUAAACAGCUAAAGUAGCCUGGUUAAAAUAUAUUUUACUGAACUCAACUGAAAUUUUUCAAUGCAGCAAGCUAACAUAUAAUAUUGUUUCUUAAGUUAACAUAUAAUAUUGUUUCUUAAGUUAACAUAUAAUGUUGUUUCUUAACUUAACAUAUAAUGUAGUUUCUUAACUUAACAUAUAAUGUUGUUUCUUAAUUUAACAUAUAAUGUUAAUGUGUCUGUGAUGUAAGAAGAGAUGAUUCAGUCUAACAGGCGUCACACGUCACCAUCUAACUGGGGACCAAACUCAUUUUAUCUAACACAUGCACUCUUUACUGUCAGAAGUAUUGACAUGCAAUUGUUAUCUUAAAGAGCUCUUCAUUUUACUUUAUUUUUGCUAUCCUCAAAUUAACUAUAGUGUCUUGUUUGUUUUGUCUUAAUA